rnacentral:rRNA from 1 species
AGUGAACGCUGGCGGUAGGCCUCACAAAGCCAAGUCGAACGGCAGCACAGUAAGAGCUUGCUCUUACGGGUGGCGAGUGGCGGACGGGUGAGGAAUACAUCGGAAUCUACUUUUUCGUGGGGGAUAACGUAGGGAAACUUACGCUAAUACCGCAUACGACCUACGGGUGAAAGCAGGGGAUCUUCGGACCUUGCGCGAUUGAAUGAGCCGAUGUCGGAUUAGCUAGUUGGCGGGGUAAAGGCCCACCAAGGCGACGAACCGUAGCUGGUCUGAGAGGAUGUGUGGCCACACGGGAACGGAGACACGGUCAAGAGUACUACGAGAGGCAGCAGUGGGGAAUAUUGGACAAUGGGCGCAAGCCUGAUCCAGCCAUACCGCGUGGGUGAAGAAGGCCUUCGGGUUGUAAUGUCUGGUUGUUGGGAAAGAAAAGCAGCAGGUUAAUACCACGCUGUUGUGACGGUACCCAAAGAAUAAGCACCGGCUAACUUCGUG